rnacentral:rRNA from 1 species
GACGAACGCUGGCGGCGUGCUUAACACAUGCAAGUCGAACGAAGAGCGAUGGAAGCUUGCUUCUAUCAAUCUUAGUGGCGAACGGGUGAGUAACGCGUAAUCAACCUGCCCUUCAGAGGGGGACAACAGUUGGAAACGACUGCUAAUACCGCAUACGAUCUAAUCUCGGCAUCGAGGAUAGAUGAAAGGUGGCCUCUACAUGUAAGCUAUCACUGAAGGAGGGGAUUGCGUCUGAUUAGCUAGUUGGAGGGGUAACGGCCCACCAAGGCGAUGAUCAGUAGCCGGUCUGAGAGGAUGAACGGCCACAUUGGGACUGAGACACGGCCCAGACUCCUACGGGAGGCAGCAGUGGGGAAUCUUACGCAAUGGACGAAAGUCUGACGGAGCAACGCCGCGUGAGUGAUGACGGCCUUCGGGUUGUAAAGCUCUGUUAAUCGGGACGAAAGGCCUUCUUGCGAAUAGUGAGAAGGAUUGACGGUACCGGAAUAGAAAGCCACGGCUAACUACGUG